rnacentral:rRNA from 1 species
AAUUCGCCCUUAGAGUUUGAUCCUGGCUCAGGACGAACGCUGGCGGCGUGCCUAAUACAUGCAAGUAGAACGCUGAAGAGAGGAGCUUGCUCUUCUUGGAUGAGUUGCGAACGGGUGAGUAACGCGUAGGUAACCUGCCUGGUAGCGGGGGAUAACUAUUGGAAACGAUAGCUAAUACCGCAUAAAAUUGAUUAUUGCAUGAUAAUUAAUUGAAAGAUGCAAUUGCAUCACUACCAGAUGGACCUGCGUUGUAUUAGCUAGUUGGUGAGGUAACGGCUCACCAAGGCGACGAUACAUAGCCGACCUGAGAGGGUGAUCGGCCACACUGGGACUGAGACACGGCCCAGACUCCUACGGGAGGCAGCAG